GUUGCUAAGCUGCUUAGCAAUCGAAAUAGGCGGAGUUUGACAGUCUUCUAAACUCUUCCGUAUAACAUUGCGAUUCACACGAUGGAUAGGCCGAGUAAGGUAUUGUUGAUGUCUUUGGCGCUGAUGAGCGCCAUACACCAGUUGCCCUCAGUCUACCAAUACUUUACGUGUGUGGAGUCCGAGCCAGGUUACCUCUCAGCGACGUUAAAUUAUCUUGCGGGAACGGAGGCGGAGAACAUUUGUCCAGCGCCAGCCGAUGUAUUAUGGGGAAUUGGAACCGAGGUAGUUUGUAACCUCAUGUGCGCUCCUAUGACCAUGCUCUUUGCAAACGCGUCGUCCAUUGGAAACAGCGCCAAAAGGAAAUGGAAAUCCAUGGUUUCCAUGUUCAAGGAUUGGAGAGCCCGUCCUUCCACCUGCCGCAGCUGUGGAACUAGUCCAUGUCAGGUAGAAAGGAAGAGACUUUGGCAGCCUUCCGAAUCUCGACAUAGGAGCAAAACAAACUUCUCGGAGAGAUCGAAGGCGAUGUUGUUGUUCAACUACGGACUUGAGCUGUCUGCAGAUUUGACCAAGGAAUUACCCAAAGACGACCUUUACUGGCAAAGAAAGAUGUGUGCUCAUUUUAAGGAAGAGCACAUGGUUCUGUUCCCAAAAUGUAUCCAGCGCCAGAUCAACAACUGGUUCCCCGUCCCUCGCUAGAUUCCCUGUACUGAAAUGAAGCCGAUGUCAGCCAGUGAUGGAAGAUGUGGAGAUGUGUUCCAAGAUUUGUGACAUCGGCUUGUUGAAUGGCGUCGCAAGAAUUUUUGUUAUCAUUUAAUAUUUAUCUUAUGUUCAUGUUAAGCUCCGAUGUUUACCCUCAGCAAAUUAAAAUAAAAAUAUAUAUAUAUAUAACAAUAAUGAUAAAAAAAAUUAUAAUAAUGAUAAUUACAAAAAAAAAAAAAAAAAAUCAUAAUAAAAAAAACCCAACAUAAUAAAAAUAAUAAAAAAAAAAAACAUAAAAAAAAAAAAAAAAAAAAGAUAAGAAAAGAAAAGAAAAGAAAAUAUGGGAAGUCUUUUGGUUGAGGAACCCUUGUUUUCCAUAGUUUCUUUUCUUUUCUUUAUUUAUGUUUGUACAGGUCCUUCCUCUGCGGAACUGUCCUGUGGCCAUCCGAAGGGAAGCCAUCUGGAAGUCGCAUGGACCAGACAAACUCGGUGGAGGUCAAGAUCCGGCUUUUGUUUUUUAUGGCUAGAUCCAAGCCAUGGGGUGGUCGGGUGGCACAGUGGUAACACACUUGCCUUUCACCAAGACGACUGGGGUUUGAUACCCCGAUCGGAUGUGAAAAGGUUUGGGGUCACCAGCCCCGACCACGUGGGUUUUCCCCGGGUACUCCGGUUUCCCCCCACACUAAGACCCCUCGCGCAAUUCUAGCCGGGCCAAGGCAUCUUUUGACCCGCGGUUUUUUCAGGUCACUUCUACCUUGUUGUAGCCAGACCAUAAUUGUUGUUGCAUUGAUCAAUAAAAAUAUAUUGUUAUUGAC